rnacentral:rRNA from 1 species
CCUACGGGUGGCAGCAGUGAGGAAUAUUGGUCAAUGGGCUUACGCCUGAACCAGCCAAGUCGCGUGAGGGAAGACUGCCCUAUGGGUUGUAAACCUCUUUUGUCAGGGAGCAACGCCGGCUACGUGUAGCCGGACUGAGAGUACCUGAAGAAAAAGCAUCGGCUAACUCCGUGCCAGCAGCCGCGGUAAUACGGAGGAUGCGAGCGUUAUCCGGAUUUAUUGGGUUUAAAGGGUGCGUAGGCGGCCUGCUAAGUCUGGAGUGAAAGGUACCGGCUCAACCGGUACAGGCUCUGGAAACUGGCGGGCUAGAGAGCAGGAGAGGGCGGUGGAACUCCAUGUGUAGCGGUAAAAUGCGUAGAUAUAUGGAAGAACAUCAGUGGCGAAGGCGGCCGCCUGGCCUGUUAACUGACGCUGAGGCACGAAAGCGUGGGGAGCAAAUAGGAUUAGAUACCCGAGUAGUC